AACACUUCCUGUGAACAGAGGAAUGUUCGCACUUCCUGUAUUGCACAUUCUGUUUGAUUUAGAAUUUCUUAUCUAAUGCUCUGUUAAUAGCUUGCUAGACCCUGCAGGAGCCUUCUUUAUGUAACUAAAGUUCAGUUUACAGAGCAAGAGAUAAAAACGUUUAAAGUUACAUCUGAUUGAAAAUGAAAUCAUUUUGUUUCAUGCCGGCUUUGUCAGUCAUAGGCAAGGGAGGUG